rnacentral:lncRNA from 1 species
UUUAAGUAAAAGGUUAACUACUAACUACUGCAAAUGUGCCACAAAUGCACAAACAAUGUUCAACAUAGACUAUUUUUUAUUUAAUUGCACGUAAUUGAUAAAAACUGCUUAGUUUAAGAUCAGAAAUUUAGUUGGAUUGUUGAUCAGACAUUUGUGGUUUACGAUAGGUACAAGAUGACCGAAUGUAACAUUAAGUUACCAGGUUCCCAAACUGUAUUAAAUGAGGCUUUGGAAAAAGUACAAACACAUUCGGCAGAAUUGGUAGAGAAAAGCUUA